rnacentral:rRNA from 1 species
GAUGAACGCUAGCUACAGGCUUAACACAUGCAAGUCGCGGGGCAGCACCCGGGUUGCUUGCAACGCCUGAUGGCGACCGGCGCACGGGUGAGUAACGCGUCUCCACCCUGCCCUUCACCACGCGAUAACCCGCCGAAAGUCAUACUAAUACCGUGUGCUUUCUAUUUAGUGCGUCCGGUUUAGUCUCAGCGCUUGGCGGUGGACGCUCGGGGAUGCGGCCGAUUGGUUUGACGGCGGCGUACCGGCGCAUCGUGGCUACGAUCGGUAGGGGUGCUGAGAGGAAGGUCCCUCACACUGGAACUGGGACACGGGCCAGACUCCUACGGGAGGCAGCAGUGAGGAAGAUUGGUCAAUGGGCGUAAGCCUGAACCAGCCAAGUAGCGUGCAGGAUGACGGCCCUAGGGGUUGUAAACUGCUUUUAUGCGGGGAUAAAGUGGCCCGCGUGUGGGCUUUUGCAGGUACCGCAUGAAUAAGGACCGGCUAAUUCCGUG